rnacentral:lncRNA from 1 species
CCAGUAUUUUGAGACAUGUAGCCAGAUUUACAUGUUUGUCAGUUUGUAAUACAUGUUUUUAAUGUAUUAUUUUAUUUAUCUUUACUAGUAUAAUUCAUGUACAUGAUAUAGUUUGGGAUGCGAUGAACGUAAUUGAUAAUUUUUAUGCCGAUACUUAUGCACUGUAAGGUCGUUUGCUUUUUUCUAUAUACUAGAAUUAUUAAUAAAAAUAACAUUGGACAAGACAUAUAUAUAUAUAUAUAAAUAUAUAUACUGAUGAUAUUUUAAAGUUCAUACUCUUCAUUUAAUACAUGAUAAAAACAUCUUUUCUGUUUAAUGGUUGAUUAUUAAAGAAGAG